GGGGAUGUAAAGGUUUCGACAGGGGUGCGUGUGGUAUAGAUAGCGAGUCGGCGUUCCAUGAGGCCGUUAAACGGUGGGAAAACAUUUAAACGCAGAAGAAAAUUUUGCAUUAGCUGCAUAAGCUACGUCCCUCAUACUUGUGCCUACCAAGUGUGAAUGGGUCUGUGAGCGAUAGCAACCCGAGAUCUCAAUCAUAGACUGUGCUCGGAGAAGUCUAUAUGGCAACACUCUUGGACAGGGGUUCGACUCCCCUCAUCUCCACCA
rnacentral:tmRNA from 1 species